CCUACGGGGGGCAGCAGUGAGGAAUAUUGGUCAAUGGACGAGAGUCUGAACCAGUCAAGUAGCGUGAAGGAUGACUGCCCUAUGGGUUGUAAACUUCUUUUAUAUGGGAAUAAAAUGUUCCACGUGUGGGAUUUUGUAUGUACCAUAUGAAUAAGGAUCGGCUAACUCCGUGCCAGCAGCCGCGGUAAUACGGAGGAUCCGAGCGUUAUCCGGAUUUAUUGGGUUUAAAGGGAGCGUAGGUGGAUUGUUAAGUCAGUUGCGAAAGUUUGCGGCUCAACCGUAAAAUUGCAGUUGAAACUGGCAGUCUUGAGUACAGUAGAGGUGGGCGGAAUUCGUGGUGUAGCGGUGAAAUGCUUAGAUAUCACGAAGAACUCCGAUUGCGAAGGCAGCUCACUGGACUGCAACUGACACUGAGGCUCGAAAGUGUGGGUAUCAAACAGGAUUAGAUACCCCUGUAGUC
rnacentral:rRNA from 1 species